rnacentral:rRNA from 1 species
UACGCAGGGGGCUAGCGUUGCUCGGAAUUACUGGGCGUAAAGCGCACGUAGGCGGCUUCUUAAGUCGGUGGUGAAAUCCUGGAGCUCAACUCCAGAACUGCCUUCGAUACUGGGAAGCUCGAGUUCGGGAGAGGUGAGUGGAACUGCGAGUGUAGAGGUGAAAUUCGUAGAUAUUCGCAAGAACACCAGUGGCGAAGGCGGCUCACUGGCCCGAUACUGACGCUGAGGUGCGAAAGCGUGGGGAGCAAACAGG